rnacentral:sRNA from 1 species
AUGUACCACUCGUACACUGCGGUUCUGAGCGCGACUUCCACGCCACCUGACGACUGCUCGCUACAUUUUGGUAGCC